rnacentral:pre_miRNA from 1 species
AGCUGGUGUUGUGAAUCAGGCCGGCGCCCAUCGGAAAACGGCUACUUCACAACACCAGGGC